rnacentral:rRNA from 1 species
UGGUCAGUAGGUUGGUCGUGCCACCGGUACGUACUGGUCUCACUGAUUCCUCCUUCCUGAAGAACCGUAAUGCCAUUAAUUUGGUGUUGCGGGGAAACAGGACUGUUACUUUGAAAAAAUUAGAGUGUUUAAAGCAAGCUAACGCUUGAAUACAUUAGCUUGGAAUAAUGAAAUAGGACGAUCGAUCCUAUUUUGUUGGUUUCUAGGAUUGACGUA